CCAUACCGAACACAGAAGUUAAGCAUUAGUCCGCUGAUGGUACUUGGUUGGCAACGACCUGGGAGAGUAAGUUAUCGCCAGUU
rnacentral:rRNA from 1 species